AGCUUUGUGCAGUGGCAGUAUUGUAGCCAAUGAGGUUUAUCCGAGGCGCCAUCAUUGCUAAUUGAAAACUUUUCCCAAUACCCCACCAUGACGACCUGAAAUAUAGUCAGCAUUGGCAAUUUUUGACAGUCUCUAUGGAGA
rnacentral:snRNA from 1 species